AAAGUUGACCGUGAGUCUAACUUAUAAAUUUCUUCUGGAUUCUGAUGGACUUCGUACUCGGACAAAAUCAUUGAGAGCACAACUUUGACAUGUCCCGCUCCAAAAGGAAUGUACGCAUCAGAAAUUUUUUGGUCUUCGCUAAACCGAUCAGGAUUAAAUACUUCUGGUUCGUCGAAAAAUUUUGGAUCACCAUGCAAGCCAUACAGGGAAAUAUAAAUCGGAGUGCCUUUUUCAAUGAUAAUGUUCGUAUCAGUCUGCAGAUACAAGCUACAAGCUACAAGUUUAAAGAUCGGGAGUUAGUAGCGCUAGGAAUCAGGAAUCAGGAGAUACGACGUGACACAUAUAGUACAAUGCCUGGAGCUUCACCUGGCAUGCUAAUGUGGCUUUGAAAUCACGUUUUGUCAACUAUAAGCAAUAUUCCAUCACCAUCACCAUCACCAUCUUCAUCUCCGUUCUAAAACUCCUGAGAUUUACACCAGAUUCAAUUCAACGCUCGUGUCUAUGUGUCACCAUCAUCAUCACUAUCGUCCCCGUCUUACUUGAUGAUCAUUGAUCAAGCAUGCUUGCAGAUGUAAACAUCAUUGCAAAACGAUAACCCAACUAACUUUGAGUCAGUGUUAUCAGCGCUGAGAUACUGUCAUGAAGCUGUUCAUAGUCCUCAUCAUCACCAUUAUCAUCAUCAUCACUUUUUGCUCGCAGUCAGACGGCAAGACACGUCGCAAGUACUACUGCAGCGAACAACGGUGCAACAACAACUAUGACUGCCAAAGAGUCCAUCAUUUAUACGUCUGCACAUUCUACUUGUUCUGCAUGAAUUGGGUUUGCAGGCCAAAUUGGAGCUGGUAGUGAAAUAUGUAUUACAGUUUAGUUAUAAAUUUGUUAUGUUUAUGAUUAAUAAAAUUGAUAGAGCAGAA
rnacentral:misc_RNA from 1 species